UGAUGACGGUACCCGUAGAAGAAGCCCCGGCUAACUUCGUGCCAGCAGCCGCGGUAAUACGAAGGGGGCUAGCGUUGCUCGGAAUGACUGGGCGUAAAGGGCGUGUAGGCGGUUUUGACAGUCAGAUGUGAAAUCCCCGGGCUUAACCUGGGAGCUGCAUUUUGAGACGUUAAGACUAGAGUGUGAGAGAGGGUUGUGGAAUUCCCAGUGUAGAGGUGAAAUUCGUAGAUAUUGGGAAGAACACCGGUGGCGAAGGCGGCAACCUGGCUCAUUACUGACGCUGAGGCGCGAAAGCGUGGGGAGCAAACAGGAUUAGAUACCCUGGUAGUCCACGCUGUAAACGAUGUGUGCUAGAUGUUGGGUAACUUAGUUACUCAGUGUCGCAGUUAACGCGUUAAGCACACCGCCUGGGGAGUACGGCCGCAAGGUU
rnacentral:rRNA from 1 species